CCUGCCAUCGCCUGGUGCUAAGGGUACGGCGCCUUCAACGCUGGACUUCGCGGGUUGAACUCCCGUUGGCAGGACCA
rnacentral:tRNA from 1 species